UACGUAGGGUGCGAGCGUUAAUCGGAAUUACUGGGCGUAAAGGGUGCGUAGGCGGGUCUUUUAAGUCAGGGGUGAAAUCCUGGAGCUCAACUCCAGAACUGCCUUUGAUACUGAAGAUCUUGAGUUCGGGAGAGGUGAGUGGAACUGCGAGUGUAGAGGUGAAAUUCGUAGAUAUUCGCAAGAACACCAGUGGCGAAGGCGGCUCACUGGCCCGAUACUGAUGCUGAGGCACGAAAGCGUGGGGAGCAAACAGG
rnacentral:rRNA from 1 species